rnacentral:rRNA from 1 species
AGCCGAGCGGUAGAGAUUCUUCGGAAUCUUGAGAGCGGCGCACGGGUGCGGAACACGUGUGCAACCUACCUUUAUCAGGGGGAUAGCCUUUCGAAAGGAAGAUUAAUACCCCAUAAUAUAUUGAAUGGCAUCAUUCGAUAUUGAAAACUCCGGUGGAUAGAGAUGGGCACGCGCAAGAUUAGAUAGUUGGUGAGGUAACGGCUCACCAAGUCAAUGAUCUUUAGGGGGCCUGAGAGGGUGAUCCCCCACACUGGUACUGAGACACGGACCAGACUCCUACGGGAGGCAGCAGUGAGGAAUAUUGGACAAUGGGUGAGAGCCUGAUCCAGCCAUCCCGCGUGAAGGACGACGGCCCUAUGGGUUGUAAACUUCUUUUGUAUAGGGAUAAACCUUUCCACGUGUGGAAAGCUGAAGGUACUAUACGAAUAAGCACCGGCUAACUCCGUGCCAGCAGCCGCGGUAAUACGGAGGGUGCAAGCGUUAUCCGGAUUUAUUGGGUUUAAAGGGUCCGUAGGCGGACUCGUAAGUCCAGUGGUGAAAUCUCAUAGCUUAACUAUGAAACUGCCAUUGAUACUGCGGGUCUUGAGUAAGGUAGAGGUAGCUGGAAUAAGUAGUGUAGCGGUGAAAUGCAUAGAUAUUACUUAGAACACCAAUUGCGAAGGCAGGUUACCAUGUCUUAACUGACGCUGAUGGACGAAAGCGUGGGGAGCGAACAGGAUUAGAUACCCUGGUAGUCCACGCCGUAAACGAUGCUAACUCGUUUUUGGGGCUUUAAGCUUCAGAGACUAAGCGAAAGUGAUAAGUUAGCCACCUGGGGAGUACGAACGCAAGUUUGAAACUCAAAGGAAUUGACGGGGGCCCGCACAAGCGGUGGAUUAUGUGGUUUAAUUCGAUGAUACGCGAGGAACCUUACCAAGGCUUAAAUGGGAAUUGAUCGGUUUAGAAAUAGACCUUCCUUCGGGCAAUUUUCAAGGUGCUGCAUGGUUGUCGUCAGCUCGUGCCGUGAGGUGUUAGGUUAAGUCCUGCAACGAGCGCAACCCCUGUCACUAGUUGCUAACAUUCAGUUGAGGACUCUAGUGAGACUGCCUACGCAAGUAGAGAGGAAGGUGGGGAUGACGUCAAAUCAUCACGGCCCUUACGCCUAGGGCCUCACACGUAAUACAAUGGCCGGUACAGAGGGCAGCUACACAGCGAUGUGAUGCAAAUCUCGAAAGCCGGUCUCAGUUCGGAUUGGAGUCUGCAACUCGACUCUAUGAAG